UACGUAGGGGGCAAGCGUUGUCCGGAAUCAUUGGGCGUAAAGCGCGUGUAGGCGGCUAGGUAAGUCUGCUCUGAAAACCCGGGGCUCAACCCCGGGAGGCGGGUGGAUACUGUCUAGCUCGAGUCCGGAAGAGGAGUGUGGAAUUCCUGGUGUAGCGGUGAAAUGCGCAGAUAUCAGGAGGAACACCAAUGGCGAAGGCAGCACUCUGGGACGUGACUGACGCUGAGACGCGAAAGCGUGGGGAGCAAACAGG
rnacentral:rRNA from 1 species